UACGAUAGGGUGCGGAGCGUUGUCCGGGAAUUCUUAGGGCGUGAAAGAGCACGUUAGGUGGCGGGUGACGUCGGGUGUGAAAAGCCCGGGGCUUAACUCCGGGUCUGCAUUCGAUACGGGUCUGCUGGGGUCCGGCAGGGGAGACUGGAAUUCCUGGUGUAGCGGUGAAAUGCGCAGAUAUCAAGGAGGAACACCGGUGGCGAAGGCGGGUCUCUGGGCCGAAAACUGACGCUGGAGGAAGCGAAAGCGUGGGGAGCAAACGG
rnacentral:rRNA from 1 species